rnacentral:rRNA from 1 species
AGUCGAGCGGAACGAUGGUAGCUUGCUACCAGGCGUCGAGCGGCGGACGGGUGAGUAAUACUUAGGAAUCUACCUAGUAGUGGGGGAUAGCUCGGGGAAACUCGAAUUAAUACCGCAUACGACCUACGGGAGAAAGGGGGCAGUUUACUGCUCUCGCUAUUAGAUGAGCCUAAGUCGGAUUAGCUAGAUGGUGGGGUAAAGGCCUACCAUGGCGACGAUCUGUAGCUGGUCUGAGAGGAUGAUCAGCCACACCGGGACUGAGACACGGCCCGGACUCCUACGGGAGGCAGCAGUGGGGAAUAUUGGACAAUGGGGGAAACCCUGAUCCAGCCAUGCCGCGUGUGUGAAGAAGGCCUUUUGGUUGUAAAGCACUUUAAGCAGUGAAGAAGACUCCGUGGUUAAUACCCACGGACGAUGACAUUAGCUGCAGAAUAAGCACCGGCUAACUCUGUGCCAGCAGCCGCGGUAAUACAGAGGGUGCAAGCGUUAAUCGGAAUUACUGGGCGUAAAGGGAGCGUAGGUGGCUCGAUAAGUCAGAUGUGAAAUCCCCGGGCUCAACCUGGGAACUGCAUCUGAUACUGUUGAGCUAGAGUAUGUGAGAGGAAGGUAGAAUUCCAGGUGUAGCGGUGAAAUGCGUAGAGAUCUGGAGGAAUACCGAUGGCGAAGGCAGCCUUCUGGCAUAAUACUGACACUGAGGCUCGAAAGCGUGGGUAGCAAACAGGAUUAGAUACCCUGGUAGUCCACGCCGUAAACGAUGUCUACUAGUCGUUGGGUCCCUUGAGGACUUAGUGACGCAGCUAACGCAAUAAGUAGACCGCCUGGGGAGUACGGCCGCAAGGUUAAAACUCAAAUGAAUUGACGGGGGCCCGCACAAGCGGUGGAGCAUGUGGUUUAAUUCGAUGCAACGCGAAGAACCUUACCUGGUCUUGACAUAUCUAGAAUCCUGCAGAGAUGCGGGAGUGCCUUCGGGAAUUAGAAUACAGGUGCUGCAUGGCUGUCGUCAGCUCGUGUCGUGAGAUGUUGGGGUUAAGUCCCGCAACGAGCGCAACCCUUGUCCUUAGUUACCAGCGGGUUAAGCCGGGAACUCUAAGGAUACUGCCAGUGACAAACUGGAGGAAGGCGGGGACGACGUCAAGUCAUCAUGGCCCUUACGACCAGGGCUACACACGUGCUACAAUGGUAGGUACAGAGGGCAGCUACACAGCGAUGUGAUGCGAAUCUCAAAAAGCCUAUCGUAGUCCAGAUUGGAGUCUGCAACUCGACUCCAUGAAGUAGGAAUCGCUAGUAAUCGCGGAUCAGAAUGCCGCGGUGAAUACGUUCCCGGGCCUUGUACACACCGCCCGUCACACCAUGGGAGUUGAUUGCACCAGAAGUGGAUAGCUUAACCUUCGGGGGAGCG